ensembl:misc_RNA Metazoa_SRP Metazoan signal recognition particle RNA
GUUGGGUGUGGUGGCGCACGCCUGUAGUCCCAGCUACUUGGGAGGCUGAGGCAGGAGAAUUGCUUGAACCCAGGAGGUGGAGGUUGCAGUGAGUUGAGAUUGUAUCACUGCACUCCAGCCUGGGCGACAGAGUAAGACUCUGUCUCAA